GACAGAGGAUGCAAGCGUUAUCCGGAAUGAUUGGGCGUAAAGCGUCUGUAGGUGGCUUUUUAAGUCCGCCGUCAAAUCCCAGGGCUCAACCCUGGACAGGCGGUGGAAACUACCAAGCUGGAGUACGGUAGGGGCAGAGGGAAUUUCCGGUGUAGCGGUGAAAUGCGUAGAUAUCGGGAAGAACACCAAAGGCGAAAGCACUUUGCUGGGCCGAAACUGACACUGAUAGAACGAAAGCUAGGGGAGCAAAUGGG
rnacentral:rRNA from 1 species